rnacentral:rRNA from 1 species
AUGGAGACCUGUAUGAAUGGCAUAACGAGGGCUUAACUGUCUCCUCUUUCCAGUCAAUGAAAUUGAUCUCCCCGUGCAGAAGCGGGGAUAAGUACAUAAGACGAGAAGACCCUAUGGAGCUUUAGACACCAAGACAGACCAUGUUAAACACCCCCAAUAAAGGCCCAAACUUAAUGACCACCUGUCCUAAUGUC